AGAGACAGCAGCAGCCACGGUAAUACAGAGGGUGCGAGCGUUAAUCGGAUUUACUGGGCGUAAAGCGUGCGUAGGCGGCUUCUUAAGUCGGAUGUGAAAUCCCUGAGCUUAACUUAGGAAUUGCAUUCGAUACUGGGAAGCUAGAGUAUGGGAGAGGAUGGUAGAAUUCCAGGUGUAGCGGUGAAAUGCGUAGAGAUCUGGAGGAAUACCGAUGGCGAAGGCAGCCAUCUGGCCUAAUACUGACGCUGAGGUACGAAAGCAUGGGGAGCAAACAGGAUUAGAUACCCCUGUAGUCCCUGUCUCUUAUAC
rnacentral:rRNA from 1 species